GACGAACGCUGGCGGCGUGCUUAACACAUGCAAGUCGAACGGAAAGGCCCUGCUUUUGUGGGGUGCUCGAGUGGCGAACGGGUGAGUAACACGUGAGUAACCUGCCCUUGACUUUGGGAUAACUUCAGGAAACUGGGGCUAAUACCGCAUAGGAGCUCUUGCUGCACGGUGGGGGUUGGAAAGUUUCGGCGGUUGGGGAUGGACUCGCGGCUUAUCAGCUUGUUGGUGGGGUAGUGGCUUACCAAGGCUUUGACGGGUAGCCCGCCUGGGAGGGUGACCGGCCACAUUGGGACUGAGGUACGGCCCAGACUCCUACGGGAGGCAGCAGUGGGGAAUAUUGCACAAUGGGCGGAAGCCUGAUGCAGAAGCGCCGCGUGCGGGAUGACGGGCUUCGGGUUGUAAACCGCUUUGGCCUGUGACGAGGAGUGAGUGACGGUAAUGGGUAAAGAAGCAACGGCUAACUACGUG
rnacentral:rRNA from 1 species